GAUUAACGCUGGCGGCGUGCCUGACACAUGCAAGUCGAACGGGCGAAGGGCUUCGGCCCCUAGCUAGUGGCGGACGGGUGAGUAACACGUGAGGAACCUACCUCCAAGUGGGGAAUAACCGCCAGAAAUGGCAGCUAAUACCGCAUGUGGUUGUCCCGCGGCAUCGUGGGACGACUAAAGAUUUAUCGCUUGGAGAUGGCCUCGCGGCCUAUUAGCUAGUUGGUUGGGUAAUGGCCUACCAAGGCGAUGAUGGGUAGCUGGUCUGAGAGGACGAUCAGCCACACUGGGACUGAGACACGGCCCAGACUCCUACGGGAGGCAGCAGUGAGGAAUUUUCCGCAAUGGGCGCAAGCCUGACGGAGCAACGCCGCGUGUGUGAUGAAGUCCUUCGGGAUGUAAAGCACUGUCGGAGGGGAUGAACAAAUGACAGUACCCUCCAAGAAAGCCCCGGCUAACUACGUGCCAGCCGCCGCAGUAAGAC
rnacentral:rRNA from 1 species